rnacentral:rRNA from 1 species
UGGGGAAUAUUGGACAAUGGGGGCAACCCUGAUCCAGCAAUGCCGCGUGUGUGAAGAAGGUCUUCGGAUUGUAAAGCACUUUCGACGGGGACGAUGAUGACGGUACCCGUAGAAGAAGCCCCGGCUAACUUCGUGCCAGCAGCCGCGGUAAUACGAAGGGGGCUAGCGUUGCUCGGAAUGACUGGGCGUAAAGGGCGUGUAGGCGGUUUACACAGUCAGAUGUGAAAUCCCCGGGCUUAACCUGGGAGCUGCAUUUGAUACGUGUAGACUAGAGUGUGAGAGAGGGUUGUGGAAUUCCCAGUGUAGAGGUGAAAUUCGUAGAUAUUGGGAAGAACACCGGUGGCGAAGGCGGCAACCUGGCUCAUGACUGACGCUGAGGCGCGAAAGCGUGGGGAGCAAACAGGUUAGAUACCCUGGUAGUCUACGCUGUAAACGAUGUGUGCUAGAUGUUGGGUAACUUUGUUAUUCAGUGUCGNAGUUAACGCGUUAGCACACCGCCUGGGGAGUACGGCC